rnacentral:rRNA from 1 species
AAAUUAUUUAAUUAUUAUUUUUAUUUAUUUUAAUGUAGUAUUGAAAUUAAUCUAAUUUAUUAGUAAUUUUUAUUGAAUUUAUAAUUUUUAUAAUAGUGAAUUAAUACCGUAAGGGGAAGUUUUAGUUUUUUGAAAGUAGAUUUUAUUUAUUGUACCUUUUGUAUCAGGGUUGAUUAAAUUAUUUUAAUUAUUUAUUUUUCCCGAAAUUAAAUGAGAUAAGAAAAAAUGUAAGUUAAUGUGUCAUAAUUAUUUAUAAUUUUUUUUUAGUAAUGAAAUGUUAUUCGUAUUUAAAUAUCUGGUUUUUUAAUAAUUGAAUUUAAUUCAGAAUUCAGGAUAUUAAUUUAAUAAAUUUAUUUUUUAUUAUGUCUGAAUUUAAAAUUUUUGGGGAUAAGCUCGAUUAUUUUUUUAUAAGUAAAAAUUAAAUUAAAAUUAAGUAGGCUUAGAAUCAGCUAUCUUUAGAAUUUCGUUAUAGAAUAUUUUUAUUUUAUAUUUAUUUAUUUUUCUUUAUUUUUUUAUUAAAAAAAUUAAUUAACUAGUUUAGUAAUGUAAUAAUGAUUAAAUAAGUAGUUUAGUUAAUUAAUUAAUAGGAACUCGGCAAAUAUAGUAUUUGCCUGUUUAACAAAAACAUGUCCUUUUGUUUAUUUAUUUAAGGUUUGGCCUGCCCAAUGAUUAAUUUUGAAUGGCCGCAGUAUUUUAACUGUGCUAAGGUAGCAUAAUCAAUUGUCUUUUAAUUGAGGGCUUGUAUGAAUGGCCGGACAAGAUACUUUCUUUCUUUUAAUUAAUUUAUGAAUUUAAUUUUUGAGUGAAAAAGCUUAAAUUUAUUUAAGGGACGAGAAGACCCUAUAGAGCUUUAUAUUUAUAUUUUUUUUUAUAAUUUGUUUAUUUUUGUAAAAAUUUUUUGUGUAUUAUGUUGGGGUGACAGUAAAAUUUAAAUAACUUUUAUUUUUUUAUUUUUCAUUGAUUUAUGUUAAUUUGAUCCAUUAUUAUUGAUUAUAAGAUUAAGUUACCUUAGGGAUAACAGCGUAAUUCAUUUGGAGAGUUCAUAUUGAUGAAUGAGUUUGCGACCUCGAUGUUGGAUUAAAAUUAGAUUUAGGCGCAGAAGUUUAUUAUCUAGGUCUGUUCGACCUUUAAAAUUUUACAUGAUCUGAGUUCAGACCGGCGUGAGCCAGGUCAGUUUCUAUCUUUAAUUUUUAUUUAUUUUUUUAGUACGAAAGGACCAAAAAAUAUCAGUAUUUGAUUUAUUUAUGAUUAAUAUUAA